GCUUACGGCCAUACCAACCCUGGCUAUGCCCGAUCUCGUCUGAUCUCGGAAGCUAAGCAGGUUUGGGCCUGGUUAGUACUUGGAUGGGAGACCGCCUGGGAAUACCAGGUGCUGUAAGCU
rnacentral:rRNA from 1 species